CCUUAAAGUCAUCCUCAGUUCGGACUGGGGUCUGCAACCCGACCCCACGAAGCUGGAUUCGCUAGUAAUCGCGCAUCAGCCAUGGCGCGGUGAAUACGUUCCCGGGCCUUGUACACACCGCCCGUCACACCAUGGGAGCCGGUAAUACCCGAAGUCAGUAGUCCAACCUCGUGAGGACGCUGCCGAAGGUAGGAUUGGCGACUGGGGUGAAGUCGUAACAAGGUACC
rnacentral:rRNA from 1 species